rnacentral:rRNA from 1 species
UUAAUGAGAGUUUGAUCCUGGCUCAGGACGAACGCUGGCGGCGUGCCUAAUACAUGCAAGUAGAACGCUGAGGACUGGUGCUUGCACCGGUCCAAGGAGUUGCGAACGGGUGAGUAACGCGUAGGUAACCUACCUCAUAGCGGGGGAUAACUAUUGGAAACGAUAGCUAAUACCGCAUAAAAGUGUUUAACCCAUGUUAAACAUUUAAAAGGUGCAAUUGCAUCACUAUGAGAUGGACCUGCGUUGUAUUAGCUAGUUGGUGAGGUAACGGCUCACCAAGGCGACGAUACAUA